rnacentral:rRNA from 1 species
AUUGAACGCUGGCGGCAUGCUUUACACAUGCAAGUCGAACGGCAGCGGGGAGGAGCUUGCUUCUCUGCCGGCGAGUGGCGAACGGGUGAGUAAUACGUCGGAACGUGUCGAGAAGAGGGGGAUAACCACCCGAAAGGGUGGCUAAUACCGCAUAAAUUCUGAGGAAGAAAGCUGGGGACCUAGGAAUAGGCCUAGCGCUUUUUGAGCGGCCGAUGUCGGAUUAGCUAGUUGGUGAGGUAAAGGCUCACCAAGGCGAAGAUCUGUAGCGGGUCUGAGAGGAUGAUCCGCCACACUGGGACUGAGACACGGCCCAGACUCCUACGGGAGGCAGCAGUGGGGAAUUUUGGACAAUGGGGGCAACCCUGAUCCAGCCAUGCCGCGUGUAUGAAGAAGGCCUUAGGGUUGUAAAGUACUUUUGUUAGGGAAGAAAAGUCAGCUGUGAAUAAUGGCUGAUACUGACGGUACCUAAAGAAUAAGCACCGGCUAACUACGUG